rnacentral:rRNA from 1 species
GACGAACGCUGGCGGCGUGCCUAAUACAUGCCAGUUGAGCGCUGAAGGUUGGUACUUGUACCGACUGGAUGAGCAGCGAACGGGUGAGUAACGCGUGGGGAAUCUGCCUUUGAGCGGGGGACAACAUUUGGAAACGAAUGCUAAUACCGCAUAAAAACUUUAAACACAAGUUUUAAGUUUGAAAGAUGCAAUUGCAUCACUCAAAGAUGAUCCCGCGUUGUAUUAGCUAGUUGGUGAGGUAAAGGCUCACCAAGGCGAUGAUACAUAGCCGACCUGAGAGGGGGAUCGGCCACAUUGGGACUGAGACACGGCCCAAACUCCUACGGGAGGCAGCAGUAGGGAAUCUUCGGCAAUGGACGAAAGUCUGACCGAGCAACGCCGCGUGAGUGAAGAAGGGUUUCGGAUCGUAAAACUCUGUUGGUAGAGAAGAACGUUGGUGAGAGUGGAAAGCUCAUCAAGUGACGGUAACUACCCAGAAAGGGACGGCUAACUACGUG